AGUGAGGUGGGUUUUUGGUUUUUUGGAGAAGGAUUGUUCUUUGUUUUGGAAGAGGUUUUUUUUAUUUUUUGGAGGUUUUUUUUGUUUUUUGGAAAGAAGGUUGUUUUUGUUUCUUGGAAAGGCUAGUUUUUGGAGAUUAAUCAAAGAUCAAAGCAAAAGAGGUUUUUUUUGAGGUCCGGCCGCCGUGUACGGUGGCACCGAUGGCGGCCCGUGGGGGUCCAUGACCGAAGCAAAGCCGGACCAACGGCCGGAUUUAGAAAAGAGGGA